AUUAUUUUGGCAGACUAGUGCAAUAGAUUUAGAAUCUUUAGAUGUAAACUUUUACAAAUAAUA
rnacentral:tRNA from 1 species